rnacentral:rRNA from 1 species
CCUACGGGAGGCAGCAGUCGAGAAUCAUUCACAAUGGGGGAAACCCUGAUGGUGCGACGCCGCGUGGGGGAAUGAAGGUCUUCGGAUUGUAAACCCCUGUCAUGUGGGAGCAAAUUAAAAAGAUAGUACCACAACAGGAAGAGACGGCUAAAUCUGUGCCAGCAGCCGCGGUACUACAGAGGUCUCAAGCGGUGUUCGGAAUCACUGGGCGUAAAGCGUGCGUAGGCUGUUGCGGAAGUCGUGUGUGAAAGGCGCGGGCUCAACCCGCGGACGGCACAUGAUACUGCGAGACUAGAGUAAUGGAGGGGGAACCGGAAUUCUCGGUGUAGCAGUGAAAUGCGUAGAUAUCGAGAGGAACACUCGUGGCGAAGGCGGGUUCCUGGACAUUAACUGACGCUGAGGCACGAAGGCCAGGGGAGCGAAAGGGAUUAGAUACCCGUGUAGUC